AUGCCCUUAGGCACGGCCAUGCAUAACAUAGAAAUCACACGUGGAAAAAUAAGAAACCUAUCUCUUCCCCCUAAUGGCAUGUUUGAACAUGAUGAAUCACUUCGUGCCGACCUGUUGCCCAUAAACUUUCCCGCCUCAUAUGAGAAUGGAAAACUGGAAGAUUUUCUGCAUCGGUGGAUGAAGAAUCACGAACAUAAGAAUUUCUGGUUUAGCAUGUUCCCAGAAAGAAGAUACUUUUUUUCCAUUCGAGAAACGAGGAGCACGACUGCCCACUCCUACCAGGGAGGGGAGCCCCAAGUAUUUGUCAAUGAGCGAUUCGGUGACAAUAUUCAGCAGGUUGCAUAC
rnacentral:rRNA from 1 species